rnacentral:lncRNA from 11 species
AGCUAUGUAAUCUAUCUUAUUAUUAGAACUUUUAUCAACCAGCUCUCCCAAUUGUGGGCCAAUUUCAUGAAACUCUGCACCCUGUGAAGAAACUAAACAUUUUGAGGCCAGGCCGGGCCCGCCUUAGGUAUGCAAGCGCACAUGCAAGCCUUUUCUGCAGCUGCAGCAAUUCACCACAAUAUCCAAUCGACGAAGCUUGCUGGCGGGAUUAAAAGGGCCACUGGCAAUCUGCCAAUAAGGCUGACAGACUCAUUAACGGAUAACCAGCGACAAUUAAGGAGCAGCAAGAAAGGCUUGAUUAGUGGCGACGAGUAACGAGACCAGCACGAACAAAGACCACGCGAGGACAAUCAUCCUGGAUCGUAGUGAUCACUGAGAAGUAUUGAUAGCGAGUUGAUCAACUUGCCAAAUUUCGGAUCAACCAGGCUUCCACUACGGUUACGAUUUCGCGCACCUGACCGGUAUACACGCGUGUACGUAUCCGUAAUAAUUUGAUUGGUAUUUCAAAUUAAUGUUUUCUUCUUAAAUGUAUAUUAAAUAUAUAAAUAUAUAUAUUCUUAUAUAUGUUUAUAUAUGUAUUUAUGUAGAUAUGUAUAUAUCUGUAUAUUCGUAGGUAUGUGUGUGUACGUGUGUCGAAGGUCUUAAUUCGGCGUCGCUAGUUCUCGGACACGUUUCUCUCGAUGAACCGGGCCGUCGGGCUCAGACUCGGCUCUACCGACUUCUCCGACCAGUUAGCCAGCAGUGAACUGCUCGUGUUCCUGCCUUGGGCAUCGUAAUAUACAUAAAGUCGCCAGAUAAGCCGCAGCUGACACCCCACCACGAACCCGUCGUGGGACGGUCCGUCUUCUCGCUCGCUUACUCUCGAUGGAACAGCUUGAAAUCCUCUUCUUCUCGAAACCGCCCCGCCGCUCGUUCAUUCCCUCUCUCUAUCGCUCUUUCGCCUUUUCUGUACCACGUCCCUGUACACGUGUUCCCGCGAUGCGGAUUGCAGUUCGCAAACAUCAGCCGACCUGUGCAAAAACUACCGUUGCAAACGGGUUUCUUGACUGUUUAGACUUAACUCCGAUAAAAGUUUUUGAUAUUUUGAUAUAAGAAACGUGAUUUAAAGACGCAACUCUAUCAUUUUCUUUUUGUUUUAGGUAAUGACAAGAACGAUAAUAAUGAAUAUUUACAUCGAGUUUUUUGAUCGCUUAAAACUUGAUUCAAGUUAAAGAUUUAUAAGAUUUUUUUGACAUGAUAAGUAUAAUUUCAAUUCUGAUUUUUUCGGAAGUGUUUUGACGAAGAGAAUAUUAGUGGAUAUUAACUCUCUGGAGAAAUGUGUAUUUUUGAAGUGAUACAUGGUUGGCUCUUUCUAGGAAAAUGAGAUAUCAAUCACUUGUGAAGUUAUUUAAGUCAGUUGCCGCUAAAAGACAACUAAAUCUAAAUGUCAUCGUACGUCGAGCAGCAAACGAGUUGUAUUACCAUAAUCUCAUCGCAAGGGCAAGAUUAUAGCCGCGUUUCUAUUCUGCUAAUUCCAUGUUAAACAUUUUUGCCUGAAACGCGACCUUCCGGAAUUUAAUCUUUUUUAUGCAUAUUAUAUUCGUUUCAGUUAAGUAUGUCUUUUUUCAAUUACCACGUCGUGUAACAAUUGUACAAUAGUUGUCAAUUCGAUCGUUUAUCAAAAGUUUGAAUGUAUUCUUUGAUGCUCUCAAAACUGUCGAAUAGAAUAGCUAAUCAAUUAUUUUACAAUUUAAAAUAAUUCAGAGAUAAAAAAAAAUUCUUUCGUUUGAAUAAUAAAUAUAAAAUUCAACGAGUUUAAGUUUUCCUUGUUGUGUAAAUUAUUUUUCGAAAAAUUAAAAAAUAUGAAUUUUUAAAUAAAAACCAUUGCUAUUGUUUCA